rnacentral:rRNA from 1 species
GACGAACGCUGGCGGCGUGCCUAAUACAUGCAAGUAGAACGCUGAAGAGAGGAGCUUGCUCUUCUUGGAUGAGUUGCGAACGGGUGAGUAACGCGUAGGUAACCUGCCUUGUAGCGGGGGAUAACUAUUGGAAACGAUAGCUAAUACCGCAUAACAAUGGAUGACACAUGUCAUUUAUUUGAAAGGGGCAAUUGCUCCACUACAAGAUGGACCUGCGUUGUAUUAGCUAGUAGGUGAGGUAUUGGCUCACCUAGGCGACGAUACAUAGCCGACCUGAGAGGGUGAUCGGCCACACUGGGACUGAGACACGGCCCAGACUCCUACGGGAGGCAGCAGUAGGGAAUCUUCGGCAAUGGGGGCAACCCUGACCGAGCAACGCCGCGUGAGUGAAGAAGGUUUUCGGAUCGUAAAGCUCUGUUGUAAGUCAAGAACGGGUGUGAGAGUGGAAAGUUCACACUGUGACGGUAGCUUACCAGAAAGGGACGGCUAACUACGUG